CUGCCAGUGAGCCUGCAGGCAGUGGGUGGUUCCCUGCCCAGGCAUCACCUCCCAGAGCCCAUGAGGACUUUUGCCUGUUUUGGUCAAAGUUAGAUUGGAUUCUUUCUUCCACUUCUUCAAUUUCAUUGUUCUUAAGUUUUUGACGUGUUUAAGAUAUUAGUGUUAAAAUAACUUCUGUUGAACUGAGUAUAACCAAGUAACUUGGAUGUGAUUUGGGCUGAUUUAUAAUUAGCAGUUCUAAGCAGGAGACUAAUUUAACUGUGUCAUCCUUUCUGCUGUAACUCCUUUGCUCUUUGGUGCUGUUUUCCACCAGCCUAAGAGCAUGGGAGGGAAUGCCCUGCUGUGUCUCGGCUAACAGGUCAGCCCAACCUGCUUUGACUCACCCAUUUAGGAAAUUGAGUUGAAUACCAGGUGUGCAAAGUAGAUCUGAUAUGAAGGAUUAUUUGUUUUGCUAUAGCAUUUUGUGGUAAGAUUAUCUCAAGGAAGAGAAAGUGACUGUUCCAGGCCAAAAAAGAGGACAGCUUUGUGUUUCCGGACAGCACUUCCCAACUGACCUGUCUAAUCUUUUCUACAGAUAAUUUUUUUCCAGCACCUGAGGAGAGACAACAAAAGGCCAAACAAAUGGCCAAGCUGAUACUUGCUUCUGAAUUACUUCAAGUUAAACUCAGCUACCUGAUGUGGCUGGAAUCAACACCAAUAUGCAGGAAAGCACAUUUGCAAGGGGCAGUCCAUUGCAAUCCUGGCAGUGCUGAGAGUCACAAAGAUCCCUGUCUUGGCACAGAGUGGCCUCCCAAACAUUCCAUGUGCUGCUGUGCAGAUUUACAGACCUCCAAGGGAACUCCAAGGAUACUCAGGUGGGCUGGGCAUGUGAACUGCUGCCAUUUGUGACAGUCACAGCAGAAAACAAGUAGAGCAGUGCUGCAGAGC
rnacentral:lncRNA from 1 species